UGUCAAGGGAUGGGAAUCGAACCCACGACCUUCCGCUUACCGGGCAGAUGCCAUGACUCCUAGGCUACCUAGGAAAACGAU